rnacentral:rRNA from 1 species
GACGAACGCUGGCGGCGUGCCUAAUACAUGCAAGUAGGACGCAGUUGCGAACGGGUGAGUAACGCGUAGGUAACUGCCUAUUAGAGGGGGAUAACUAUUGGAAACGAUAGCUAAUACCGCAUACUAGUAGAUGGACCUGCGUUGUAUUAGCUAGUAGGUAGGGUAAUGGCCUACCUAGGCGACGAUACAUAGCCGAGCUGGGAGGGUUGUCGGGCAAACUGGGAAUGGGAAACGGGCCAGACUCCUAAGGGAGGGAGCAGUAGGGAAUCUUCGGCAAUGGGGGGAAACCUGACCGAGCAACGCCGGGGGAGUGAAGAAGGUUUUCGGAUCGUAAAGCUCUGUUGUUAAGGAAGCGGUACUUAACCAGAAAGGGACGGCUAACUACGUGCCAGCCGCCGCGGUAAUAC